rnacentral:rRNA from 1 species
UACAGAGGGUGCGAGCGUUAAUCGGAAUUACUGGGCGUAAAGCGUGCGCAGGCGGUUUUGUAAGCCAGAUGUGAAAUCCCCGGGCUUAACCUGGGAAUGGCAUUUGGGACUGCAAGGCUGGAGUGCGGCAGAGGAGACUGGAAUUCCUGGUGUAGCAGUGAAAUGCGUAGAUAUCAGGAGGAAUACCGAUGGCGAAGGCAGGUCUCUGGGCUGACACUGACGCUCAUGCACGAAAGCGUGGGGAGCAAACAGG